rnacentral:rRNA from 1 species
CCCGCUGAAUUUAAGCAUAUAAGUAGGCGGAGGAAAUGACACAAAACGGGAUUCCUCAAUUGGUUGCGAAUGAAAGGGAGAGGGCUUCAGCUUGACAUCCAAAGGCUGUCUUUGACAUGAAGAAUAGAUAGUGUGCCAAAGGGCGGGUGGUGGAAAGUGGAUACUGGCUUGGAAGAGGGGUGUGCACAUCGCAACGAGGGUAACAAACCUUUGACACUUGAUAUGUCGUCCUGCAUGGCACCUUGUCUAGACUCGUGCUCUUUGAAAGUGGAGUGCAAAGUGGGCGGUCAAUUUCACGCAAAGACAGAUACAGCGUUGGGGGCUGGCAGCGUACACGUACCGGGCGGAAGUGUGAACAGGACUUUGGAAAGAGACCCCAGCAAGCAUGCAGGGUGGGAGAGUUUGGAGAGAUUUCCCUGCAAGACCAAGCUUAGUGUGUGCGUGUCUCUUCUUGGAUGACAAUCAAAGAUGCCUGCAGUCAGU